UACGAACUGUGCGAACGUUAUUCGGAAUCACUGGGCUUACAGGGUGCGUAGGCGGCUUGCUAAGUAGGGUGUGAAAUCCCCCGGCUCAACCGGGGAACUGCGCCCUAAACUGGCGAGCUGGAGUGAGACAGGGGUGUGUGGAACUUCCGGUGGAGCGGUGAAAUGUGUUGAUAUCGGAAGGAACGCCGGUGGCGAAAGCGACACACUGGGUCUUGUCUGACGCUGAGGCACGAAAGCCAGGGGAGCGAACGGG
rnacentral:rRNA from 1 species